UACUACAAUUGCACAUACAAGAGUAUUCUUAUUACUAUGUUAGAAAAUGGGAUAGUUCUUAGUAAUAAAACUUAUAUGGUAAAUAUUUACUUAAUCUUUUUAUCUUUUUUACCUUUUAGGAAAAUAUUUACUUUGCAUUUAUUAUGAAUAUGGUAUCUGUGUAAUAAGACAAUAAAUAUCAAUACUACAUGGCCAUGAUCGAGAUAGAGCUAAUUUUCAGAAUAAUUUACAAAUAAAUAUUGUACCAUUAUCUGGGUACAUUAGAUUAGAAGAGUUACGACAAUGGUGUGAUAAUAGAUUAAGAGUUCUAAAGCUAAUAGAGUAAAUAACAUUGAAAAAUUAUUUUAAAAAGCACCUAUACAAUGUACAGAAAUGUUAAUAAAUGAAUUGGAAAAUAUGUACUGGCA